rnacentral:tRNA from 1 species
UCCGGGUUGGUGCAAUGGCAGCACGGCGGGUUUUGGUCCCGCAGAUCGAGGUUCGACCCCUCGACCCGGAGCCA